CCUACGGGUGGCAGCAGUAGGGAAUAUUGCUCAAUGGGGGAGACCCUGAAGCAGCAACGCAGCGUGGAGGAUGACGGUUUUAGGAUUGUAAAAUCCUUUUGAGAGAGAAGAAAAUGACGGUAUCUCACGAAUAAGCACUGGCUAACUCCGUGCCAGCAGCCGCGGUAAUACGGAGGGUGCAAGCGUUACUCGGAAUCACUGGGCGUAAAGAGUGCGCAGGCGGGCUUGUAAGUCAGAUGUGAAAUCCUGUAGCUUAACUACAGAACUGCAUUUGAAACUAUGAGUCUAGAGUGUGGGAGAGGUGGGUGGAAUUCGUGGUGUAGGGGUGAAAUGCGUAGAUAUCACGAGGAAUACUCAUUGCGAAGGCGACCUACUGGAACAUUACUGACGCUCAUGCACGAAAGCGUGGGGAGCAAACAGGAUUAGAUACCCUUGUAGUC
rnacentral:rRNA from 1 species